rnacentral:rRNA from 1 species
ACGCUGGCGGCACGCCUAACACAUGCAAGUCGAACGAAGUAGCAAUACUUAGUGGCAGACGGGUGAGUAACAUGUGGGUAUCUGCCCUUUGGCCUGGAAUAACACGAGGAAACUUGUGCUAAUACCGGAUAAGUCUUUACGGAGAAAGCUUUAUGCACCAUUGGAUGAGCCCGCACUUGAUUAGUUUGUUGGUGGGGUAAUGGCCUACCAAGACUGUGAUCAAUAGCUGAUUUGAGAGGAUGAUCAGCCACAUUGGGACUGAGACACGGCCCAAACUCCUACGGGAGGCAGCAGUGGGGAAUCUUGCACAAUGGAGGAAACUCUGAUGCAGCGAUGCCGCGUGAGUGAAGAAGGCCCUUGGGUUGUAAAGCUCUUUCGUCGGGGAAGAAAAUGACUGUACCCGAAUAAGAAGGUCCGGCUAACUUCGUGCCAGCAGCCGCGGUAAUACGAAGGGACCUAGCGUAGUUCGGAAUUACUGGGCUUAAAGAGUUCGUAGGUGGUUGAAAAAGUUAGUGGUGAAAUCCCAGAGCUUAACUCUGGAACUGCCAUUAAAACUUUUCAGCUAGAGUAUGAUAGAGGAAAGCAGAAUUUCUAGUGUAGAGGUGAAAUUCGUAGAUAUUAGAAAGAAUACCAAUUGCGAAGGCAGCUUUCUGGAUCAUUACUGACACUGAGGAACGAAAGCAUGGGUAGCGAAGAGGAUUAGAUACCCUCGUAGUCCAUGCCGUAAACGAUGUGUGUUAGACGUUGGAAAUUUAUUUUCAGUGUCGCAGCGAAAGCGAUAAACACACCGCCUGGGGAGUACGACCGCAAGGUUAAAACUCAAAUGAAUUGACGGGGACCCGCACAAGUAGUGGAGCAUGUGGUUUAAUUCGAAGAUACGCGCAGAACCUUACCAACACUUGACAUGUUCGUCGCGACUCUAAGAGAUUAGAGUUUUCGGUUCGGCCGGACGAAACACAGGUGCUGCAUGGCUGUCGUCAGCUCGUGUCGUGAGAUGUUGGGUUAAGUCCCGCAACGAGCGCAACCCUCACUUUUAGUUGCCAUCAUUAAGUUGGGCACUCUGAAAGAACUGCCAGUGAUAAGCUGGAGGAAGGUGGGGAUGACGUCAAGUCCUCAUGGCCCUUACGAGUUGGGCUACACACGUGCUACAAUGGUAUCUACAACAGGAAGCAAGACUGCGAGGUCAAGCAAAUCCUUAAAAGAUACCUCAGUUCGGAUUGCACUCUGCAACUCGAGUGCAUGAAGCUGGAAUUACUAGUAAUCGUGGAUCAGCGUGCCACGGUGAAUGCGUUCCCGGGUCUUGUACACACCGCCCGUCACACCAUGGGAGUUGGUUCUACCUUAAGGCAAGGUUUUAAACCCUUGACCACGGUAUAGUCAGCGACUGGGGUG